rnacentral:tRNA from 1 species
CGUCGCGAGGGCGUGGAAGCGGCCGCCGGACUUCAGCUUCAGCGCGCCGCGCCGGUUCAGCUCCCAGCCGCCGCGCC